AGGGGACGUGCUGGGUAGAGGAAGGCCAUGGUCCCUGGCUAGGGCUCCACCCUCAUGGACCUAGGUGAGGACAGGCAUUUUUGUUUCAUUUCCCAAGACCGCCCUGGCCUGCCACGCCCCCAUCCUGGGCCUAUAAAACUGCCUGAGACCCUAGCAGGCAGACACACAAGCUGCUGGACGUCGAGAGGAGCAGAUAGGCAGAGGAACACACGGGUGGCUGGAUGUCGAGAGGAAUACAGUAACAGGCACCUGCAUGCCGGCAGGCCACCGAUUUGCAGAACAACAACGUGGAGUUUGGCUGCGGCAGUGAGAGGACAGCCCAGGCUGCUCAGCUGCCGGGAUCCAGGAGAAACCUUCCCACUCCAUCCCCUUUUGGCUUCCGCCAUGUGAUAUCUCCACUCAAUACAACCUUGUGCUCAUUCUCCAAGCCCAUGAUGUGAUCUGCUUCUGGUACACCAAGGCAAGAACCCUGGGAUGCACAAAGCCCUCUGUCCUUGUGAUAAGGCAGGGGUCUAAUUGAGCUAACACGAGCUGUGUAUACCUAGCUAAACUAAAAGAGUACCCUGUAACACAUUCCCCCUGGGGCUUCCGGAGCUGUUAACAUUCACCCCUAGACACUGCCCUGGGGUUGGAGCCCCACAGCCUGCCCGCCUGUAUGCUGCCCUAGAGGUCUGAGCCUCGGGGCACUGAAAAAGCGAGCCACUCCGCUGCCCCAUAGCAAGACCCGCCAUGGGGAUAAAGGAAUUUUUCCUGUUUCAACUGGGGACUUCGCCUGAGAUCCUGGAAGAGAAAUGUCGCAUAUGUUCCCACUGCUGUGCAGAGCAGAAGUCUGCAGACCUGUUAUUGCAAAGAAAGAGGAGGCCAUCUACACCCGAAACCAGCUGGGGGACAAGGGCUGGACAACUGUGUGGCAGAAGAAAUAAAAGAGUAUUUCAGGGACUGAAAUUUGAGAAGUACCUUCUUUAGUCUAAAAAUACCUUGACAAUUUGUAGCCCCGGUGUGACAAGGGAACAGAGUGAGAUGUCGAGGCCCGAGGACAGUAACUAGGGGUGGGUGUCACAAGAGGCUUUUUGAAGUGGGAAUGAGCCUAG
rnacentral:lncRNA from 1 species